rnacentral:rRNA from 1 species
GACGGAGGGUGCAAGCGUUGUUCGGAAUUACUGGGCGUAAAGGGCGCGUAGGCGGUCCGCUAAGUUCGGUGUGAAAUCCCCCGGCUCACCCGGGGAAUGGCGCCGGAAACUGGUGGACUGGAGUACCGGAGAGGAGGGUGGAAUUCCUGGUGUAGCGGUGAAAUGCGUAGAUAUCAGGAGGAACACCGGUGGCGAAGGCGGCCCUCUGGACGGAUACUGACGCUGAGGCGCGAAAGCGUGGGGAUCAAACAGG